UACGUAGGGGCCAAGCGUUUGUCCGGAUUUAUUGGGCGUAAAGAGCUCGUAGGCGGUUCGGCAAGUCAGCUGUGAAAUCUCCACGCUCAACGUGGAGGGGGUCAGCUGAUACUGCUGUGACUCGAGUCCGGUAGGGGAGUGUGGAAUUCCCGGUGUAGCGGUGAAAUGCGCAGAUAUCGGGAGGAACACCAGUAGCGAAGGCGGCACUCUGGGCCGGUACUGACGCUGAGGA
rnacentral:rRNA from 1 species